rnacentral:rRNA from 1 species
UACGUAGGGUGCGAGCGUUAAUCGGAAUUACUGGGCGUAAAGCGUGCGCAGGCGGUGUGCUGUGUCCGAUGUGAAAGCCCCGGGCUUAACCUGGGAAUGGCAUUGGAAACUGGCUCGCUGGAGUGUGGCAGAGGGGGGUGGAAUUCCGCGUGUAGCAGUGAAAUGCGUAGAGAUGCGGAGGAACACCGAUGGCGAAGGCAGCCCCCUGGGCUAACACUGACGCUCAGGCACGAAAGCGUGGGGAGCAAACAGG